rnacentral:rRNA from 1 species
UACGUAGGGUCCGAGCGUUGUCCGGAAUUAUUGGGCGUAAAGAGCUCGUAGGCGGUCUGUCGCGUCGGCUGUGAAAACCCGGGGCUCAACCCCGGGCCUGCAGUCGAUACGGGCAGACUAGAGUGCGGUAGGGGAGACUGGAAUUCCUGGUGUAGCGGUGAAAUGCGCAGAUAUCAGGAGGAACACCGGUGGCGAAGGCGGGUCUGCUGGGCCGUAACUGACGCUGAGGAGCGAAGGCGUGGGGAGCGAACAGG